rnacentral:rRNA from 1 species
CCUACGGGAGGCAGCAGUGGGGAAUAUUGCACAAUGGGCGCAAGCCUGAUGCAGCCAUGCCGCGUGUGUGAAGAAGGCCUUCGGGUUGUAAAGCACUUUCAGCGGGGAGGAAGGCGGUGAGGUUAAUAACCUCAUCGAUUGACGUUACCCGCAGAAGAAGCACCGGCUAACUCCGUGCCAGCAGCCGCGGUAAUACGGAGGGUGCAAGCGUUAAUCGGAAUUACUGGGCGUAAAGCGCACGCAGGCGGUCUGUCAAGUCGGAUGUGAAAUCCCCGGGCUCAACCUGGGAACUGCAUUCGAAACUGGCAGGCUAGAGUCUUGUAGAGGGGGGUAGAAUUCCAGGUGUAGCGGUGAAAUGCGUAGAGAUCUGGAGGAGUACCGGUGGCGAAGGCGGCCCCCUGGACAAAGACUGACGCUCAGGUGCGAAAGCGUGGGGAGCAAACAGGAUUAGAUACCCGGGUAGUC